AUUGAACGCUGGCGGCAGGCCUAACACAUGCAAGUCGAACGGUAGCACAGAGAGCUUGCUCUCGGGUGACGAGUGGCGGACGGGUGAGUAAUGUCUGGGAAACUGCCCGAUGGAGGGGGAUAACUACUGGAAACGGUAGCUAAUACCGCAUAAUGUCGCAAGACCAAAGAGGGGGACCUUCGGGCCUCUUGCCAUCGGAUGUGCCCAGAUGGGAUUAGCUUGUUGGUGAGGUAAUGGCUCACCAAGGCGACGAUCCCUAGCUGGUCUGAGAGGAUGACCAGCCACACUGGAGCUGAGCCACGGUCCAGACUCCUACGGGAGGCAGCAGUGGCGAAUAUUGCACACUGGGCGCAAGCCUGAUGCAGCCAUGCCGCGUGUGUGAAGAAGCCCUUCGGGUUGUAAAGCACUUUCAGCGGGGAGGAAGGCAAUGCGGUUAAUAACCGUGUUGAUUGACGUUCCCCGCAGAAGAAGCACCGGCUAACUCCGUG
rnacentral:rRNA from 1 species